AAAGUCGUAACAAGGUAACCGUAGGUGAACCUGCGGUUGGAUCAUUAGUAAAAUUUGAAUAUAUCAACGUGGAAAGCUCAAAUUGGAUUUAUUCUAUUUUGGGUAAGUACCGUUGAAACCUUAUGUGCAUUGUUUUAUUUCUACUUUUAUUAUUAUUUUUUUUAAAAUGUUAAUUAUUACAACUUCUGACAAUGGAUCUCUUGGCUCUU
rnacentral:misc_RNA from 1 species